GUGCUCGUUUCUGCAGCACAUAUACUAAAAGUGGAACGAUACAGAGAUUAGCAUGGCCCCUGCGCGAGGAUGACAGGCAAAUUCGUGACGCGUUCCCUAUUUUU